AUUAGUUUAAUAAUAGUUAGUUUAAUUAUAUUGUAAUAGUUUAAGUAAGUGUGAUUUUCAAUGUGGUCUCAGAGUUUUGAACCCCACUGUACAAUUUUCUCUUUUCGUUUGAACCCAAGGUCUCUUCUCCGUGGCUCCCGUAAAAUGAAAGUGUGGUUUUUCUCUGGUUCUGUGCAGCAGAGGAUGCCCUGUGGAUCGAUCAGUGGCCUUCCAUCAGGUGGCUGCUAAUGAAUGAGAUGAGAGUGGGAGGGUGAGUCUAGUGAAGUAUUGCUCUCUUCAGCAGAGUUCUUGUCUCCGGGUCUGACAGCAUCCUCCCCCCGGCCGCUUCACCACUAUCUGUCCAGUCACUAUCAAUUACUAAGCUCUGAAACAUCCUGCACCCUGUACACCUUCCACGGCGAGUGUGAAUGCACAUGUCGGGGCCUUGACCUGCUAUGUGUGUGCGUGCCGCAUGUCAGGAAACGAGAGGACAAAGAUGUUGGAGCUCUGGUACAGUGGUCAACCCAUGCAGGAGACCGGCACAGAAAUGGGGAUGGAAAGAAUGGGAUUCGGUAUAUGCUGAUGAAGAGGAAUUCAAGAUUGAUGAUGAUGAAUCAUGAUGAGUCACUGUAAAAAGUCAGAGACUAGUGCAAUGUGGUGAUAAUAACAACAGCUGUGGUCAUGAAAUGAUUCAGACAUCUGCUCCCCAUUGAAUAUUUUGUUUAUUCUCAUAAUGAGGCAACAGCUUAUUUAGCAUGUUUUAUUAUUACUGAACUAAUCAAUGCAGGGGACUACAGAGUGUGUCCUGGGUCAUGUUCAUCCAGUGUGGCUUACUACGUCAGCCUGGAAAGUUUUGAAAGGUUUGUCCAUUCAUCGAGUCAAGCUUAACAUUUGAUGAGCCUUUGGGCUGCUUUUCACUCCUUUUCAUUUGCUGUGUUUUCAGAACACAGGUUCAUUCCAUGUUAUCUUCAACAUUUUCUGGCUGACCAGUUGGACCAGAUGGUCCUUGAUUGCAUAGCAGUACAAUGCCAGCACUGACUUUGGGAUCAGUCUUAAAGGAAUAUUUUGUGCAAAA